rfam:Ovis aries breed Texel chromosome 6, whole genome shotgun sequence.
UCCCUGAUAGCUGAGUUGUUAAAGAAUCUGCUUGCAAUGCAGGCAACCCCGGUUUGAUUCCUGGUUUGGAAA